GCAGGCCCUACCAAUUGCAAGUUCGAGCGGUAGCACAGAGAGCUUGCUCUCGGGUGACGAGCGGCGGACGGGUGAGUAAUGUCUGGGAAACUGCCUGAUGGAGGGGGAUAACUACUGGAAACGGUAGCUAAUACCGCAUAACGUCGCAAGACCAAAGUGGGGGACCUUCGGGCCUCAUGCCAUCAGAUGUGCCCAGAUGGGAUUAGCUAGUAGGUGGGGUAACGGCUCACCUAGGCGACGAUCCCUAGCUGGUCUGAGAGGAUGACCAGCCACACUGGAACUGAGACACGGUCCAGACUCCUACGGGAGGCAGCAGUGGGGAAUAUUGCACAAUGGGCGCAAGCCUGAUGAUGCAG
rnacentral:rRNA from 1 species